GAUGAACGUUGGCGGUGUGCCUAAUACAUGCAAGUCGAACGGAGUUAAUAGCAAUAUUGACUUAGUGGCGAACGGGUGAGUAACGCGUUGGUGAUCUGCCUUGAAGUGUGGAAUAACGCUCCGAAAGGAGCGCUAAUACCGCAUGUGCUCUCAAUUUUUAGAAACUUGAGAGGAAAGGAUUUAUUCGCUUCGAGAGGAGCCUGCGUCCCAUCAGCUGGUUGGUAGGGUAAAGGCCUACCAAGGCAAUGACGGUAGGGACCUGAGAGGGUGGCCCCCCAAAUGGAACUGAAACACGGUCCAUACACCUACGGGUGCAGCAGUAGGGAAUAUUAGAAAUGGACGAAAGUCUGAUCUAGCAACACCGCGUGUGCGAAAGAAGGCCUUCGGGUCGUAAAGCACUUUUUGGAAGGAAUAGGAAGGAAUGUACUUCCAGAAUAAGUCUCGGCUAACUACGUG
rnacentral:rRNA from 1 species